AGGAGCUCCUUGUAUUCCACUGCCUUCUAUUCCAUCGCCUUCAGAGCCCCCCAGCGGCCCAGCGGUACAGAACAAUCAUUCACCAAGCUGUUGAGGAGCGUGUCCUAGACGGAUCAAGAAUGGGCAGACGCUGAAGAAACUACUCUGAAGUUUACUUCCCAACCACAGAAGAUUUGGUUUCUACAGCUGCUAGAGCACCUGGGACAGGGGUGCUACUGACUUCCAGCUGUCAGGACCGCAGGAGAGGGUGGCUGUGAGCGCGCUCGGGACUCUACCGUCACACCCACCCUGCAACUGGGCCCGUCGGUGGCAAGGUCUCGGCCAUGAGGUGCUCCACCGUAACUCCCGUUAACACUUCAUGUAUCAAACUUAACAACACCCACUCCUUGUUUUCACAAAGAAUGAAUUAACCAGUUUCCCUUCAUUCCACACUUGCUCCCUUGGAAAGAUGCAAAAGGCUGGCAGUGGGUAAAGGACAGUGAGUCCCACACUUGUCACAGCGAUCUGCCACGCCUCAUCUUCCCUGUCACACUUCUCUUGCCUCUUCUCAGAGGGCUGGAUUUAGACUUCUUUGAGAAACUGCAAUCUAGAGGCCAUUCAUCUAGGGUGGGCUUCCUGACACUUCUCAGGGUCGUGCUUGCUCACUGAACUGGACACUGCCACACCACCUCCUCUCUGUCCGUCUCUUCCCACUUCUCUCCAGAGCUAGGCACCUACCUGGGUUUUGGAGUACACAGAACCCGAGAUAUCUGGCACGCCCGUGUUACUGGAGGUGACUGAUACACCUGGGGGAGGAGGAAACAGACAGGAGGAUUAGCUCAGCUAGCGGCUGGCCCCUCUCCCGGCGAGGAAAUGGUGUGUGCAGCCUUCCCAGCUGUUACACUGCAAGGGAAUGCUGGUCUGCUUUUCCAUCUCAGGUCAGGCCUGAGAGAGGAGAGCUCAUGACCCAAAUCUCUUGCCCUUUCCAGGUAUGUACUGAGUAUGUGUGUGAGAAAGCGAGGUGAGUUGCUUUCUGUGGGGCAAGGGGAAAUAGCGACACCCCACUAGCAUACAGUUUUCAAAAUACUUUUGUACCAAAGCCCAAAAGAAAUGUAUUAAACUUUUAAUGUCCAUUUUAAAUCAACCCAUCCAGACUCCACUCAGCCCUGCUCCCGAAGACAGGUAGUCUGGGCUCUUUCUGUUCAUGAAGAGACACUUUUGGGCUCAGGAUCCAUGCUUUCACAGCGUAAGGUAAGAGCUCAAGGAGCAGUCCAGUCCAACCCCAAGAGCACGGUCCAUUCUCGCAGUCUCAGCUCCCCUGGCUUCUCUAGUCCUGGCUCUUCUAGGCUAGGUACUUACGACGUAAAGAGCUGACACAAAGGUGCAUUUCCAGCUAAGUAAUUUAAGCCUAAGCAUGGGGAAGGGACAGGGAUUAGGAAGGCAGUGGGGUAGGCUAUCUCCUGCGGUCUGUGUGGAAUACAAAAUCUGACGUCCUCAUCAUUUACAACUUGAGCUUCUCUGUGAGACACAGGCUCUGAUCCAUGCUCCCAAUAACUUGCCUGCUUCCCGGCGAAGAACUCCCUACAACCACCACCACUUCAAGGAAACCAGUACCACUCCUCGUCUUAAUUUCUACUCUCGACACUGAAAUAGACACACUGUACCCUCGGGUAUGGAGCCACGGGUCAGGGAGACAGGAAAAAGCCAUCAGAUAAAAUAAUCUAGCAUCUUACUAGAGAAAUUUUAUGCCAAGAUUUGAGGGAAAAUAACUCAAAUUUAAAGCACACUUUUAAAGAUACAUUCAAUCUCAUCACAUGAGAUAAAAUGAAACUUCAGAAAAACUGUAUCCUUGGAUCCUUCUCUCUUGCUAUUAGGGGCACUUUGAUGGAAGAGUUUUUUUUAGAAGCACUGUGCUAAAGUGACCAAAUCACAAAUGCCUCCCAAACCCAAGAGCAAGUCCCCCUUCAAACUCCAGAACCCCAGUCCUCCCAAUGCCUAGGACAAAGGCAGCCCUCAGAAGUUAAGCCCUCCUUGGAGAGCUACUGCAGGAUGUCCCCAAAAGUGGCACCUUAACCUGGAAAGCCCUCCCACAGCACAAGUCCAGAUGGUUCCACGGAGGAGCCAAGAAAAAGAACAGAACUACAGAAUCAGAGCAUGAGAAAACAUUGUCCCAUCUCCAAAGCAGCAACUCUACACCUCAUAGGCACUGAAGGAAAAGAAAGGGAUGGUACAGGGACAAACGGGGGUAGUCUGACCCCCUCCCUCUUCAAACCCCGUGUGCCCUUAUGCACAUCACGGGUAAUGGACAUAACCUUAAGAACAGUUGAUUAAUGGAAAAGGCUAAGCCACCAAGGAGGUUUGUGUGGAAGGGCUGAGAGUGAGGUGGGACAGAAAGGAUACAAACAUUUUUGAGGGAAAUCAGAGACAAUGACUGAUUUUUACUGAAAAGGUUCAAACACCUUGCAGACACCCAGGGUUACCCCAUGCUGGAUGAGAGAAACAGCUAACUGGUUUCUCAAGCUGGGUGGUAGGGAGGAAUUUGGUUUUAGAUUGCCAGCCCCCUCCCCCCAACCUGGUCUCAUUCUUUCCAGAGGCUGGACUAGCUAAAAUCUAGCUUCUAGUCCUGAGGCUUUAGUCUGGGUAUUGAUUGAAGGGCUGGAGGUGCAGGACAAGAGAACACUGUAGCAGCCCUAACAGCCUGAGUGUGAGCACUAGACAUAACGGGUGUUGGCUUCCCCACUUACCCUUCACCAGUUACGAGAAAGCUCCUCAGACUAGAGUUCUCUUGCUUUCCUUCCAACAGUCAACGCCCCUUCUAUCCCCCACUCCCAAGCAGUGGCAACCACACUGAUCUGAUGUGGAGACAGCAUGGAGGACAAACAAGAACCAACAUCUUCCAGCAUGGCAGCCCCUGGGGAAGCUGGUCACACUCACAGGAAAAAAUUACUCGAGGGUUGGGAACAAGUACAAAGGAAGUGGAAUAUCUGGGCUUCCAAUUAACCAAGGAUGGUGUUCUCACCAUACAAGUUAACUCUGUAAACCAAGGGGUGAUGGUGUACUAGCCCUUGGAUUGAGUGGGGAUAAGAAUUUCCAUAGUCAGGGAGAAGUGUAAGCAAACCUCUCCCACACAUCCUUAGCUACACCCACAAGUGCAAAACAACGAAUAAUCCACAACCCCUGAGAAGCGUAUGGAGGGCCGAAGAGUAAGAACACUGUUGCAGGCUAGCACAGUUUCCACAGCUGGAGUCACGAAAGACUUUAACAGAUCUCAACCGGCCACCUGGCCUGGGGCCUUGGAAGCCACUUCCCUAAACCAGCUCCGAACGCCACCUCGUCUGCCUUUCACAUGACAGGACCAAGCUGUUUCAGGCCUUUCCCUCCGCUUACGUCAGAGGCAAGGGGAAGACCUACGUGGAAAAGAGCUGUAAUAAGCAUGGAGAAUCAGGGAUUUUCUACAAAAUCACUUUCUUCACCAAUCAAUCAAAGGGCUGGAAACUGAGGCUGCUUCCCCUCUCCCACCUUAACACAAUCACCAUGACGAGAGGGUAACAGUUCUUAGUUCUUUGGCUAUGCUGGGGUUUGACUGAAAAGGCCCCCCUCCACCCGGCAUCCACGGCACAACAUUGGCUCCUAGUGUCCAGACAGACAUGCACGGAAAGAACGCCAGAGUUAGCUAAAGAAAUACCACAGUUUAUUGAAGACUACAAAUAUUUGUUACAAGUUGGAACUACAUGCCUUCCAGAAAUCAAAAGCAACAGCAGGUGUGUGCAUUGACGCUUCGGAGGUGCCGCACCGCUGGAACUCGAAAUGGGUAAGACAGGGUCAGACACGUGGGGGAGAGGGAAGUGGGGGAAGGGCAAGUUCAGAGCCCAGAAGGCAUCCACCAACUCAUUUCCCCCAGCCACGCAGGCAUGGCCUCAGCUCAGCAGGCUCUCCUCAGUGGUCUGGUUUCUGAAACAAGACUUCAGUGCAAGUUUAUACACACACACAAAACACAGCCCCCAGCCUUGGGCCAAAUUAGCUCUCUGCCGUCCAGAAAUGCUUGUAAGGGGGUGGAUAUUUUCUUCCUAAAAGGAAUCAAAUACAUAAAAAUAAAUGAAUUUAGAGGUUGAUGAGGAAUGGGAUGACAAGAGCCCUGUGUGGGAUUGGGAACUGGGGGUGCUCAAAAGACUGUUACAGCAGGUUUCUGAAAUCUUAAGGGGAAUAAGAAAACUAGGAUUUCCAGAAUAAGGUAUGCCAUUCUUUUAUAUUAUCAUCUACCUCUUAAAAUUCUUUAUCUGGUCCAGCUAAAACUUAAAUCUAACCAGAAUGGGGCCACUCCACGUCAGAAAGCUUAUAAUCCUCCCCUCCAAGGAUUAGGGUGUACCUUGCUUGGUAAGAGGGGCAGCCACAAGGAGUGGGGUAUCUCAGGAUUUCUCCAGGUUAAAUCCAGACUCACUCCAAGUUGCUCCAACACAGUUCAAACUCUGCCUGUUAGUUCGCUCUCAGACCUAUUGCCUUCUAUGCUCAGCUCAGCUUCCCAGUUACUGAAAACCUUGGGCAACCGACCCACCUGGAGUCCACACAGGGGUGAAGAACACAGAUGCAGCUCCAUCCAAAUCACCAUGAAAGCAUAAGUGAGCUUAGAAUUCUGAAAAACCCUCAACCCCAACUCUUUGCAGCUGCAACAACCUCCUCCCCAUAUUUGUCUACGUAGAAGUCACUGAAAAAAGUAGAUGGAACUCCUCCAAAAACAGAGUGCAGAUGUUGUCAGGUAUGGGAGCCAGGGCUAGACUAGGUGAUCUUUUAGGUCAGUGCCCAUUCAGAGGUUUCCUACAUUUCCCUCCUGCCAUCAGAUAUGCAAACAGACUUUGCCAAGAGACCUGCCAUACAAAGGAGGGAUCCUAAGGUCUCCCUCUCCCUCUCUUGAGUACUCAUACCCCAUGCCUUUCUCUCCACAUCCUAGGUUUCCCAGCUGGGGAACAAAAGGGAGCUGCAUGAGAAAGGAAGUGCAAGGCAAGCCCGCCCCACUCUGCUAUUCAGGAAGCACCUCGCUGCCCACGCUACCAGUGCCAGGCAUGCUGGUACUGGCCUCCACUGACGUCUCGGUAACACCUUGGGGCCCCUUGCCCUGCUUCCCACCCAAAGCUUAGGCCAGCCAACGUUCUCUAACGGCCAACACGUGCCCCAGGGCAUUCCCAUCUCGAGUGCUGGACUCCCGUUCUUACAUCAAGCACCCCUCUGCUGGUGCUGCUCGGUUAAACACCCACAUCGGUCACACGUGAAAAGGCCCACAUGGAGCUGCUAGAGCUCACCUCACCAACCCCGUUUCCUCAAGCACCGUGUCUUCCUCCCUGAAACUCCUUCAGUCACAUCCUGUAGAAGCCACGGA